rnacentral:rRNA from 1 species
CCUACGGUGGACCGCAGUGAGGAAUAUUGGUCACUGGGCGGAAGCCUGAACCAGCCAAGUAGCGUGCAGGAUGACGGCCCUACGGGUUGUAAACUGCUUUUAUACGGGAAUAACGCGCCUUACGUGUAGGGCUUUGCAUGUACCGUAUGAAUAAGGCCCGGCUACUUCCGUGCCAGCAGCCGCGGUAAUACGGAAGGUCCGGGCUUUAUCCGGAUUUCUUGGGUUUAAAGGGAACGUAGGCCGCAUGUCAAGCGUGCUGUGAAAUGUCCGGGCUCAACCCGGGCCUUGCAGCGCGAACUGGCGUGCUUGAGUCCGCGGAAAGCAGGCGGAAUUCGUCGUGUAGCGGUGAAAUGCUUAGAUAUGACGAAGAACCCCGAUUGCGAAGGCAGCUUGCUGCAGCGGAACUGACGCUGAUGCUCGAAAGCGCGGGUAUCGAACAGGAUUAGAUACCCUUGUAGUC